rnacentral:lncRNA from 1 species
AUAUGUAUUGAGUAUAUAUGACCUCUAUUUUAGAUUUCAAAGAGUUACAAGAAUGUCUCCAAAAAAAGUGUGUCUUCUAUGGACUCCCAAUCUUAGAAGAGGUGUAAACAACAACAGUGGCAGCAACCACCACCACUACCACCACCACAACAAAACAAGUGUUUGAGAAUAACAUCAAGAACCACUUCCAGAGUCCUGCCAGGUUGCCAGAGUCCUUCCAGGUUGGAGCUCCAAGGAGACAGGAAUGAAACAGCAACUCAAACAGACAGUGAUGGAGAAUUCCUGAUCGAGUUUACAUUUGUUUCACAUGCAGAAGGUGAUGGUGUCAUCCUGUGGCAUUAACAAUUCUUAACAAGAAUUUAA